GGCAGCGGAGGGCCAGCAGAGUGGCCAUACCUCUGGGUCAUAGCCACAGCGCCCAGGAAGCAGGGAGAAUGGACUGUCAGCCUGGGAUGGGGAGGAGGCACGGGCUGGAAGUCCUGGCUGGCCUGUGAUCACAUUAGCCACCCACCGCUUCACUCAGAAGCUACUAAGGAAGAGAAGGCCCACCUCAGCUCGCGGUCUACCUAUGGUAACCCCGAAUCAACCCAUUUCAGCUGCCAAGUGAGCUUAAGCUUGAAGACGGGCAGAUCGGCCACAGGUCUCUAGCGCCCCCUGCUGGGAGGCUGUAGACCUCCUGUAGGUACACCACAGGCCUCUAGCGUCCUCUGCUAGGGGAGAUGCUGGACACACACAGGGGCCACAACCGUUUGUUUGUGUAGCAACAGCGUGAGCCAGCCAAUGAACACAAAUCAGCAAUGGAAUGAAAACUUGAACAAAUUAAGGGCUACGCAAAUGCACAGAUGAAGGAAUACUCAGAAGAUACGCGUGGCUGAGUAAGUGAUGGAUGAAGGACCCACUGAACAAAGGCUUAAGCAAAGGAAUCCGUGAAUAAUUGAGUAAGUGAUGGGUGUAGGGGCCGGAAAAGGUACAGCAUAUUUCACGUAAGAAUGAGUAAUCGACUUAAUUAAAAACUGGACAAAUAGGUGAAUGGAUGGAUGAAAACAACACACACACACACACACACACACACACACACACACACACACACACGCAUAACUGAGUCACCAAAGACAGGCUGCUGGGAACUGUUUUAUGCCAUGGAGGAAUGAAUGGCUGAGUGAAGAAAAGGACAAGGGAGUGACAGGCACACAUAAAUAAGCAAACACACAGAGGACAGCUGGUGAUAGGUGCCUGUGGGAGUGUGAGCAGUUCACAUUAUAGCCUAGAGAUGGGCCUCUAUGGAAGCCAGGAUGAAUGAGGUCAUGAGUGCAGGGCUCUGAGCUGGGGGCUCUUCUCCUCGGAAAAAGGAACAGCAGCGCUCCCCUCUCCCUCCCCUCGGACUGGUGGCUGGCAGACUGUCCUUCCAGAACCCCAAUCUUGCUCUUCCACCCCACAGAACUCUGAGGAAUCGAUUUCUGGCUUAAGCCAUUCAGCCUGCAAAAGGAACCUGCCUGUCCACUGUCUACAGUAAUCUCAUCUACACAAUGGUGUCACCGGCACAGGCUGCAUGCAUGAUCCUUCAUGGAAUGGAGCGGCGAACAAGUACAAGAUGGCUGGUGGUCAGCCUUCCCUUCUCUGGGCUUUGGAUAGCGUGGCAACCUCUAGGCUCGGGUGUGUGUAGGUGCCCUCACCUUAGCCUUGUGGCCGGAGAUGCCAUUUCUGGCAGCUUCCCCACACCAUGGCUCCCAAGGGAAGACACACUGGCCUGGGAACUGGCUGACCUUGCUGCUGAGGAAGUCUCUCCAUUUCUCUAGAUCUCCCCUGCCACCCCCCCCCCCCCUUCUUCCAGCAUGGAACAGAUCAAUUGCAGCAGCCUGGAUAACUGAAUCUCUGCCUUGGGCAAAACUUCCGUUACCUACAAUCAACCACAGUCCAAAACUAUUAAAUGGAGAAUUCUAGAAAUAAGAAA